CCCCUAGUAACUGCGAGUGAAGCGGGAAAAGCUCAAAUUUAAAAUCUGUCAGUCUUUGGCUGUCCGAGUUGUAAUCUAGAGAAGUGCUAUCCGUGCUGGACCGUGUACAAGUCUCCUGGAACGGAGCCUCAUAGAGGGUGAGAAUCCCGUCUUUGACACGGACUACCAGGGCUUUGUGAUGCGCUCUCAAAGAGUCGAGUUGUUUGGGAAUGCAGCUCAAAAUGGGUGGUAAAUUCCAUCUAAAGCUAAAUAUUGGCGAGAGACCGAUAGCGAACAAGUACCGUGAGGGAAAGAUGAAAAGAACUUUGGAAAGAGAGUUAAACAGUACGUGAAAUUGCUGAAAGGGAAACGCUUGAAGUCAGUCGCGUUGUCCAGGGAUCAACCUUGCUUUUGCUCGGUGUACUUUCUGGUUGACGGGUCAGCAUCAAUUUUGACUGUUGGAAAAAAGUCAAGGGAAUGUGGCAUCUUUGGAUGUGUUAUAGCCCUUGGUUGCAUACAAUGGUUGGGAUUGAGGAACUCAGCACGCCGGAAGGCCGGGUACUACUUUACCACGUACGUGCUUAGGAUGUUGGCAUAAUGGCUUUAAUCGACCCGUCUUGAAACACGGACCAAGGAGUCUAACAUACCUGCGAGUGUUUGGGUGGAAAACUCGAGCGCGUAAUGAAAGUGAAAGUUGAGAUCCUUGUCGCUGGGAGCAUCGACGCCCAGACCAGACCUUUUGUGACGGUUCUGCGGUAGAGCAUGUAUGUUGGGACCCGAAAGAUGGUGAACUAUGCCUGAAUAGGGUGAAGCCAGAGGAAACUCUGGUGGAGGCUCGUAGCGAUUCUGACGUGCAAAUCGAUCGUCAAAUUUGGGUAUAGGGGCGAAAGACUAAUCGAACCAUCUAGUAGCUG
rnacentral:rRNA from 1 species